CAUCUAGUAUCAAUAAUAACAAAUCAUCUUUUUUAUUUCUCUGUUUUCUUUUCUUUUUUUUUUAUUAUCUUUGCGGUUGCGGCGAAGGGAAGUAUUCGAAAUUUUGCUUCUUUUUGAAUGGGUUUGUGAUUCUUGCAGCUGAUUGGGUUGGUUGUAGCAGAGGCAGAGAUUUCAGUUUCCAACUGAUAAGGUCAAACAUAGUCAAUGGCACUGGAAGAAGCAGCCAAUUCCGGACCCUAAAAGAAAAGAAAAGAAAUUUGAAGAGAAAAUAGCAAGUGAUUCAAUGUGGAUUGCUAAAGAUGCUACUGUGCCAAAUUUUUAAACAACCCAAUUUUUUUUUCAUCUCACUUUGUGCCUGUUCAGUUCAUGCUACUAUUGAACAAGUACGGCGCUGGUUUUGUUAGAAACAAAGUUGAUGGUUAGAAACGAAUUGUGUAGAGUGUAGAAAAUUUUGAGAAUUCUGUCGUGUUUCUUUCUUUGU